rnacentral:rRNA from 1 species
CCUACGGGAGGCAGCAGUGGGGAAUAUUGCACAAUGGGCGAAACCCUGAUGCAGCGACGCCGCGUGAGUGAAGAAGUAUUUCGGUACGUAAAGCUCUAUCAUCAGGGAAGAAGAAAGACGGUACCUGACUUAGAAGCUCCGGCUAACUCCGUGCCAGCAGCCGCGGUAAUACGCAGGGGGCAAGCGUUAUCCGGAUUUACUGGGUGUAAAGGGUGCGUAGGCGGCUGUGCAAGUCUGAAGUGAAAGCCCUGGGCUUAACCCGAGGAGUGCAUUGGAAACUGUGGGGCUAGAGUGCUGGAGAGGUGAGUGGAAUUCCUAGUGUAGCGGUGAAAUGCGUAGAUAUUAGGAGGAACACCAGUGGCGAAGGCGGCUUACUGGACAGUAACUGACGUUGAGGCUCGAAAGCGUGGGGAGCAAACAGGAUUAGAUACCCGAGUAGUC